UCACUCUCGAUGGCAUGGAGACGAA
rnacentral:piRNA from 1 species